rnacentral:rRNA from 1 species
UACAGAGACUGCAAGCGUUAUUCGGAUUCACUGGCGUAAAGGGUGCGCAGGCGGCCGUGUGUGUGAGGCGUGAAAGCCCGGGGCUUAACCCCGGAAUUGCACCUCAAACUACAUGGCUAGAGCAUUGGAGAGGGUAGCGGAAUUCACGGUGUAGCAGUGAAAUGCGUAGAUAUCGUGAGGAACACCAGAGGCGAAGGCGGCUACCUGGACAAUUGCUGACGCUCAGGCACGAAAGCGUGGGGAGCAAAAGGG